rnacentral:rRNA from 1 species
CCUACGGGAGGCAGCAGUAGGGAAUAUUGCUCAAUGGGGGAAACCCUGAAGCAGCCACGCCGCGUGGAGGAUGAAGGUUUUAGGAUUGUAAACUCCUUUUGUGAGAGAAGAUAAUGACGGUAUCUCACGAAUAAGCACCGGCUAACUCCGUGCCAGCAGCCGCGGUAAUACGGAGGGUGCAAGCGUUACUCGGAAUCACUGGGCGUAAAGAGUGCGCAGGCGGGCUUGUAAGUCAGAUGUGAAAUCCUGUAGCUUAACUACAGAACUGCAUUUGAAACUAUGAGUCUAGAGUGUGGGAGAGGUAGGUGGAAUUCUUGGUGUAGGGGUAAAAUGCGUAGAUAUCAAGAGGAAUACUCAUUGCGAAGGCGACCUACUGGAACAUUACUGACGCUCAUGCACGAAAGCGUGGGGAGCAAACAGGAUUAGAUACCCCUGUAGUC